CACCGAGUACUAAAGCUCCGGCGCCUAAGGAUGGGUCUGCGGCCUAUCAGGUAGUAGUGGGUGUAGCGUACCUACUAGCCUACGACGGGUACGGGUUGUGAGAGCAAGAGCCCGGAGAUGGAUUCUGAGACACGAAUCCAGGCCCUACGGGGUGCAGCAGGCGCGAAAACUUUACAAUGCUGGCAACAGCGAUAAGGGGACCUCGAGUGCCAGGUUACAAAUCUGGCUGUCGUGAUGCCUAAAAAGCAUUGCAUAGCAAGGGCCGGGCAAGACCGGUGCCAGCCGCCGCGGUAACACCGGCGGCUCGAGUGGUAACCGUUAUUAUUGGGUCUAAAGGGUCUGUAGCCGGCCGGGUAAGUCUCUUGGGAAAAUCUGGCAGCUUAACUGUCGGGCUUUCAGGAGAUACUGCUCGGCUCGAGGCCGGGAGAGGUGAGAGGUACUUCAGGGGUAGGGGUGAAAUCUUGUAAUCCUUGAAGGACCACCAGUGGCGAAGGCGUCUCACCAGAACGGACCUGACGGCAAGGGACGAAAGCUAGGGGCAC
rnacentral:rRNA from 1 species